rnacentral:rRNA from 1 species
UACAGAGGUCCCGAGCGUUGUUCGGAUUCACUGGGCGUAAAGGGUGCGUAGGUGGUGAGGUAAGUCGGGUGUGAAAUCUCCAAGCUCAACUUGGAAACUGCAUUGGAAACUACCUUGCUAGAGGAUUUGAGGGGGGAUUGGAAUACUUGGUGUAGCAGUGAAAUGCGUAGAUAUCAAGUGGAACACCAGUGGCGAAGGCGAAUCCCUGGAAAAUACCCGACACUGAGGCACGAAAGCUAGGGGAGCAAACAGG